AGUAAAAUGGGCAGCAGCAAGCUGAUUACACAGGGAAAAGCUUCUAUCUAAAUACACAUAGCAUAACAAUCACCCCUGGAAAAACUACAUGGCUUACCAAAAGAGCACAGAAUUUUGAAGAGAGAAUACACUAAAAGGGAAGAACAUAACUACAUGACAUCAUAAGAAGUCCUGAAUUAGAAGCGUAUAUUUGAAAGGUCAUGCAUCCUGAGCUGCCAACAGCUUAACAACCAGAGGCAGAGGCCACCUUUGCCAGCUCACUGCUUCUACUCAUCUUUCAUGAUAGUAGCCAGGCUGAAUAUAGUUCCAGGAUGAUAAUGAAUUGGCUGGGCAUACUGUUUAUAUUAGUAUGUAUGUUCCUGUACUAAACCAAGCAUCAUGAGGCCAGCACUAUUUUGCCAUUUUUCAGAAAAAAAAUAUGAACCCUUCAAAACAUAGUUUGGAAUCAUUUUGUCCAUAAGCAAGAUAUAACCUCCUGAUAUUUUGAUUGUAAUUACAUUGAAUCUGUGGAACAAUUUGGAAAGAACCAACAUCUUGAGAAUUAUGACACUGAAGCUGAGAGCUGAAUAGCAAGAAGCAGCAAGGCAUGGAAGAGCCCAAGUAAGAAGGAGCCCAGAAUCUGACGUCACCUUUUCUCAAGUUAUUCAAUUCAAAUACCUUCCAAUUGCAUAUAUCUAUUACCCAUAGCCCUCUACUGCCUGUGAGACUGAAAAGGGACAAAAAGACAACACAUUGGAGGCCGAGGAGGGCAGAUCACCUGAGGUCAGGAGUUCGAGAGCAGCCUUACCAACAUGGUGAAGCCCCAUCUCUAAUAAAAAUACACAAAUUAGCCAGGCAUGGUGGCACAGGCCUGUAAUCCCAGCUACUUGGGAGGCUGAGGCAGGAGAAUCUCUUCAACCUGGGAGGCGGAAGUUGCAGUGAGCCAAGACCGCAACAAUGCACUCCAGCCUGGACAACAAGACUGAAACUCCAUCUCAAAAAAAAAAAAAAAAAAAUACAACACAAUGUUAAAAGUGGCCCCAUCCUUCCCUUUACUGUUCAGGAUUUAUCACAGGGGCUAAAAUAGGUACAGAAUAUGAUAGUAAAGAAAUCAAAUCCCUUUGGCAUGAUUACAGAGUUGAAUCAACCAAGAUAAAGAAGAAUAUGAUGAAAAGAAGUUGAGAAUUUUACCUCUAAAUUCAUUAUCAUACUAUAAACCAGAGAUUUGACCUAGAGAUGAUGCACUUUUUUCUUGUCCUUAAAAUGCUUUUUCUUUGAUUAUCAUUUUCAGAAAUGCUGUAUAAGAUUUCCACACCCAUGGCACUACAAUAGACUAUGUAGAAGUUGGACAAGAUAUACAGCUUCUAGUAUUCUAUAUGCUAAGACUGCAGUGAACUUCUCCAUUGAAUU
rnacentral:lncRNA from 1 species